rnacentral:rRNA from 1 species
UGCAGUCGAGCGGACAGAAGGGAGCUUGCUCCCGGAUGUUAGCGGCGGACGGGUGAGUAACACGUGGGUAACCUGCCUGUAAGACUGGGAUAACUCCGGGAAACCGGAGCUAAUACCGGAUAGUUCCUUGAACCGCAUGGUUCAAGGAUGAAAGACGGUUUCGGCUGUCACUUACAGAUGGACCCGCGGCGCAUUAGCUAGUUGGUGGGGUAAUGGCUCACCAAGGCGACGAUGCGUAGCCGACCUGAGAGGGUGAUCGGCCACACUGGGACUGAGACACGGCCCAGACUCCUACGGGAGGCAGCAGUAGGGAAUCUUCCGCAAUGGACGAAAGUCUGACGGAGCAACGCCGCGUGAGUGAUGAAGGUUUUCGGAUCGUAAAGCUCUGUUGUUAGGGAAGAACAAGUGCGAGAGUAACUGCUCGCACCUUGACGGUACCUAACCAGAAAGCCACGGCUAACUACGUGCCAGCAGCCGCGGUAAUACGUAGGUGGCAAGCGUUGUCCGGAAUUAUUGGGCGUAAAGGGCUCGCAGGCGGUUUCUUAAGUCUGAUGUGAAAGCCCCCGGCUCAACCGGGGAGGGUCAUUGGAAACUGGGAAACUUGAGUGCAGAAGAGGAGAGUGGAAUUCCACGUGUAGCGGUGAAAUGCGUAGAGAUGUGGAGGAACACCAGUGGCGAAGGCGACUCUCUGGUCUGUAACUGACGCUGAGGAGCGAAAGCGUGGGGAGCGAACAGGAUUAGAUACCCUGGUAGUCCACGCCGUAAACGAUGAGUGCUAAGUGUUAGGGGGGUUUCCGCCCCUUAGUGCUGCAGCUAACGCAUUAAGCACUCCGCCUGGGGGAGUACGGUCGCAAGACUGAAACUCAAAGGAAUUGACGGGGGGCCCGCACAAGCGGUGGAGCAUGGUGGUUUAAUUCGAAGCAACGCGAAGAACCUUACCAGGUCUUGACAUCCUCUGACAACCCUAGAAGAUAGGGCUUUCCCUUCGGGGACAGAGUGACAGGUGGUGCAUGGUUGUCGUCAGCUCGUGUCGUGAGAUGUUGGGUUAAGUCCCGCAACGAGCGCAACCCUUGAUCUUAGUUGCCAGCAUUCAGUUGGGCACUCUAAGGUGACUGCCGGUGACAAACCGGAGGAAGGUGGGGAUGACGUCAAAUCAUCAUGCCCCUUAUGACCUGGGCUACACACGUGCUACAAUGGACAGAACAAAGGGCUGCAAGACCGCAAGGUUUAGCCAAUCCCAUAAAUCUGUUCUCAGUUCGGAUCGCAGUCUGCAACUCGACUGCGUGAAGCUGGAAUCGCUAGUAAUCGCGGAUCAGCAUGCCGCGGUGAAUACGUUCCCGGGCCUUGUACACACCGCCCGUCACACCACGAGAGUUUGCAACACCCGAAGUCGGUGAGGUAACCUUUAUGGAGCCAGCC